UACGAAGGGGGCUAGCGUUGUUCGGAAUCACUGGGCGUAAAGCGCACGUAGGCGGCCAUUCAAGUCAGGGGUGAAAGCCCAAGGCUCAACCUUGGAAUUGCCUUUGAUACUGUUUGGCUUGAGACCGGAAGAGGUCGGCGGAACUGCGAGUGUAGAGGUGAAAUUCGUAGAUAUUCGCAAGAACACCAGUGGCGAAGGCGGCCGACUGGUCCGGUUCUGACGCUGAGGCGCGAAAGCGUGGGGAGCAAACAGG
rnacentral:rRNA from 1 species